UACAGAGGGGGCAAGCGUUGUUCGGAAUUACUGGGCGUAAAGGGCGCGUAGGCGGCCUGUUAAGUCGAACGUGAAAUCCCCGGGCUCAACCCGGGAACUGCGUCCGAUACUGGCAGGCUUGAAUCCGGGAGAGGGAUGUGGAAUUCCAGGUGUAGCGGUGAAAUGCGUAGAUAUCUGGAGGAACACCGGUGGCGAAGGCGGCAUCCUGGACCGGUAUUGACGCUGAGGCGCGAAAGCCAGGGGAGCAAAACAGGG
rnacentral:rRNA from 1 species